UCAUAUGAUGACUUUCCCGAUAGGGACAUCCGAUGCAAAUUGCAAAUGAUGUUAUCAGGACAAGAUAUUUUAGUAGAUGCUUCUUGACUAUCUGAAC
rnacentral:snoRNA from 1 species